rnacentral:rRNA from 1 species
UGGGGAAUUUUGGACAAUGGGCGAAAGCCUGAUCCAGCAAUGCCGCGUGUGUGAAGAAGGCCUUCGGGUUGUAAAGCACUUUUGUCCGGAAAGAAAUCCUUGGCUCUAAUACAGUCGGGGGAUGACGGUACCGGAAGAAUAAGCACCGGCUAACUACGUGCCAGCAGCCGCGGUAAUACGUAGGGUGCAAGCGUUAAUCGGAAUUACUGGGCGUAAAGCGUGCGCAGGCGGUUUGCUAAGACCGAUGUGAAAUCCCCGGGCUCAACCUGGGAACUGCAUUGGUGACUGGCAGGCUAGAGUAUGGCAGAGGGGGGUAGAAUUCCACGUGUAGCAGUGAAAUGCGUAGAGAUGUGGAGGAAUACCGAUGGCGAAGGCAGCCCCCUGGGCCAAUACUGACGCUCAUGCACGAAAAGCGUGGGGGAGCAAACAGGAUUAGAUACCCUGGUAGUCCACGCCCUAAAACGAUGUCAACUAGUUGUUGGGGAUUCAUUUCCUUAGUAACGUAGCUAACGCGUGAAGUUGACCGCCUGGGGAGUACGGUCGCAAGAUUAAAACUCAAAUGAAUUGACGGGGUCAUAGCU